rnacentral:rRNA from 1 species
UACGAAGGGUGCAAGCGUUAAUCGGAAUUACUGGGCGUAAAGGGUGCGUAGGCGGUUCGUUAAGUCUGUCGUGAAAUCCCCGGGCUCAACCUGGGAAUGGCGAUGGAUACUGGCGAGCUAGAGUGUGUCAGAGGAUGGUGGAAUUCCCGGUGUAGCGGUGAAAUGCGUAGAUAUGUGGAGGAACACCGAUGGCGAAGGCAGCCCCCUGGGAUGUGACUGACGCUCAUGUACGAAAGCGUGGGGAGCAAACAGG